rnacentral:rRNA from 2 species
AGCACGGGCAUGCCUAGUACGGCGAGUGAAGCGGCAACAGCUCAAAUUUGAAAUCUGGCUCUUUCAGAGUCCGAGUUGUAAUUUGCAGAGGGCGCUUUGGCUUUGGCAGCGGUCCAAGUUCCUUGGAACAGGACGUCACAGAGGGUGAGAAUCCCGUACGUGGUCGCUAGCUAUUGCCGUGUAAAGCCCCUUCGACGAGUCGAGUUGUUUGGGAAUGCAGCUCUAAAUGGGAGGUAAAUUUCUUCUAAAGCUAAAUAUUGGCCAGAGACCGAUAGCGCACAAGUAGAGUGAUCGAAAGAUGAAAAGCACUUUGGAAAGAGAGUCAAACAGCACGUGAAAUUGUUGAAAGGGAAGCGCUUGCAGCCAGACUUGCUUGCAGUUGCUCAUCCGGGCUUUUGCCCGGUGCACUCUUCUGUAGGCAGGCCAGCAUCAGUUUGGGCGGUGGGAUAAAGGUCUCUGACACGUUCCUUCCUUCGGGUUGGCCAUAUAGGGGAGACGACAUACCACCAGCCUGGACUGAGGUCCGCGCAUCUGCUAGGAUGCUGGCGUAAUGGCUGUAAGCGGCCCGUCUUGAAAACCG